AAGUAAUCUGAAAAACUGUGGUAAAAGUAAAAAUAACAUAAAUUUGACCACGUGGACCGCCACGUCAACAGCACGGCCGAUCAUCCACGUGCCAACGGAUCCAAUGGCCUAGAUCUCCUCCCGUAUGCCUAGACGACCUAGAUCCACUUCCUCUUCAGGUGCGAUCAAAUGACCAGAUUUAAUCCAUUCGUGCAGCACAAAUUUGUUCCCCCAAAUAAGGGUGAUCCGGCAGUUGGGAGCAGACUACGUGUUCCUGUACAAACGGCCCAGAUCGACAUGAAGAUGGUAUUUAAACAUCGUUUCCCAGAAAAUCCUAACCCUAAACUGCAGCUGACCCUGUGGGAGAAGAAGAAGAAGGGUGGCUGGAAGGAAGGAAGCCAACCAUCGUCGCCGCCGCACUAGAGCUACCACUGAUAGCAGGGAGGUGAGUGUUUUCCCUUUUUUGCUUCGAAAUUUGAUUUUAAGCACUCCUACACCCAUAUCGGUGUCAAAAAGCCAAGAGAAAAGCCAAAAAUUGAUAACAGAGCUCGGCCGAGCCGCUGCACUUGCGACCCAAAAUCGUUCCGGUGAGCCAAUCCUGCUUUCCGUUUCCUUCCAUUUUUAAAUAUUGUAUCCUAACCCUUUUCUAGUGCAAGACCAAAGAAAAUCCUCGGCCGCAAGAGAGAAACAGCGGACCCGCUGCACCGAAAAUCUCUCCCACCAGUAAGCCUCGACUUUUCCCUUUUUCUGGCCAACAGAGGCCACCUAAC
rnacentral:lncRNA from 1 species